ACUUUUAACAAUGGAUAUCUUGGCUCUUGUAUCGAUGAAGAACGCAGUGAAACGCGAUAUGUAAUGCGAAUUGCAGAACUCUGUGAGUCAUCAAAUCUUUGAACGCAUAUUGCACUUCUCAAUUCAAUUGAGAAGUAUGCUUGUAUGAGUGAUG
rnacentral:rRNA from 1 species